rnacentral:rRNA from 1 species
UACGUAGGGGGCUAGCGUUGUCCGGAAUCAUUGGGCGUAAAGAGCGUGUAGGCGGCCCGGUAAGUCCGCUGUGAAAGUCGGGGGCUCAACCCUCGAAUGCCGGUGGAUACUGUCGGGCUAGAGUGCGGAAGAGGAGAGUGGAAUUCCUGGUGUAGCGGUGAAAUGCGCAGAUAUCAGGAAGAACACCCGUGGCGAAGGCGGCUCUCUGGGACGGUACUGACGCUGAGACGCGAAAGCGUGGGGAGCGAACAGG